rnacentral:misc_RNA from 1 species
CUGUGUUAAGCGGUUGGGCUUGCCCAACCACGCACACCCCCUGUGUACCUCACCGGUUGCUUCGGCGGGUCGCUGGCCACAGCCGUCGCCCCCCUCCCUGCGGGGGCGGCGUGUCGCCCGCCGAGAGACCUUCAAACGCUGGCUUUUGCAGUGAUGUCCGAGCCAUAUACGAGAAAUCGCAUA